GAUGAACGCUAGCUACAGGCUUAACACAUGCAAGUCGAGGGGCAGCAUGGUCUUAGCUUGCUAAGGCCGAUGGCGACCGGCGCACGGGUGAGUAACACGUAUCCAACCUGCCGUCUACUCUUGGACAGCCUUCUGAAAGGAAGAUUAAUACAAGAUGGCAUCAUGAGUCCGCAUGUUCACAUGAUUAAAGGUAUUCCGGUAGACGAUGGGGAUGCGUUCCAUUAGAUAGUAGGCGGGGUAACGGCCCACCUAGUCUUCGAUGGAUAGGGGUUCUGAGAGGAAGGUCCCCCACAUUGGAACUGAGACACGGUCCAAACUCCUACGGGAGGCAGCAGUGAGGAAUAUUGGUCAAUGGGCGCAGGCCUGAACCAGCCAAGUAGCGUGAAGGAUGACUGCCCUAUGGGUUGUAAACUUCUUUUAUAAAGGAAUAAAGUCGGGUAUGUAUACCCGUUUGCAUGUACUUAAUGAAUAAGGAUCGGCUAACUCCGUG
rnacentral:rRNA from 1 species